rnacentral:rRNA from 1 species
GAUUAACGCUGGCGGCGUGCCUAACACAUGCAAGUCGAGCGGCAGCGAGUUUUACACUGAAUUCUGGAAGCUUCUAGUUGAAAGAGAAGAUUUAUUCAAGAAUUUUGUGUAAAAUGUCGGCGAGCGGCGGACGGCUGAGUAACGCGUGGGAACGUACCCCAAAGUGAGGGAUAACGCAUCGAAAGGUGUGCUAAUACUGCAUAUGGUCUUCGGAUUAAAGCCUUCGGGCGCUUUGGGAACGGCCUGCGUAAGAUUAGAUAGUUGGUGGGGUAAUGGCCUACCAAGUCGACGAUCUUUAACUGGUUUGAGAGGAUGAUCAGUCAGACUGGAACUGAGACACGGUCCAGACUCCUACGGGAGGCAGCAGUGAGGAAUCUUCCACAAUGGGCGAAAGCCUGAUGGAGCAACGCCGCGUGCAGGAUGAAGGCCUUCGGGUUGUAAACUGCUUUUAUAAGUGAGGAUUAUGACAGUAACUUAUGAAUAAGGAUCGGCUAACUACGUG